UUUCCGUAGGUGAACCUGCGGAAGGAUCAUUAAUGAGUUGUCAUGGGGUUCGAUGCUGGCAGCCAAUUUUUGGAUGCAUGUGCUGCCCUAACAAUCAUCUUCCAAACACCUGUGCACAUUUUUGAGGGAGUCUUGAGUUGGUUGCCGCUCUUGGGUGAUUUUCUCACAUUCCCUUAAAUCAUUAUACGCUAUUAACAAUGUUGAACGUGCUCUGUGCCGCAAGGCUAUUAAUAUAAUACAACUUUUAACAACGGAUCUCUUGGCUCUC
rnacentral:misc_RNA from 1 species